GAUUCUUAGCUUAACGGGAGAGCACCACAAGCGGAGGUCGAUGGUUCGAAUCCAUCCAUUUCCA
rnacentral:tRNA from 1 species